rnacentral:rRNA from 1 species
UUCAGCUUACACCUGAAAAAUGUCUGCUAACACAGAUCGUCUUGAUGCCAAACUCUAGCCCAACCGACAUGACCUGGAAUAACAAAGCUACUUUUCCCCACCCAACUAAAGCAUUUACUAGUCCCAGUAUAGGCGAUAGAAAAGACACCAUUGGCGCGAUAGAGACCACGUACCGUAAGGGAAAGAUGAAAUAGUAAUGAAAACUAAGCUAUAAACAGCAAAGAUCAACCCUUGUACCUUUUGCAUCAUGGUCUAGCAAGAAAAACCAAGCAAAAUGAAUUUAAGUUUGCCACCCCGAAACCCAAGCGAGCUACUUACGAGCAGCUAUCAUGAGCGAACCCGUCUCUGUGGCAAAAGAGUGGGACGACUUGUUAGUAGAGGUGAAAAGCCAACCGAGCUGGGUGAUAGCUGGUUGCCUGUGAAACGAAUCUAAGUUCACUCUUAAUUCUUCUCCAAGGAAACCCCACAAACCCUAAUGAAGCGAAUUAAGGGCUAUUUAAAGGAGGUACAGCUCCUUUAAAAAAGAAUACAACCUCCACGAGCGGAUAAGUAAUAGUCUUUCCUAACUGAACUGUGGGCCCUCAAGCAGCCAUCAACAAAGAGUGCGUUAAAGCUCUACACCACAAAAAUAUAAAAACCCCACGACUCCCUCCCCAUUAACAGGCUAACCUAUCUAAAUAGGAGAAUUAAUGCUAGAAUGAGUAACCAGGGUCCUCCCUCUACGACGCAAGCUUACAUCCGUACAUUAUUAACAAACCACCAAUAUACGACAAAUCAAACAAGCGCAGUAUUAAGUAUCUUGUUAACCCGACAGAGGAGCGUCCAUUAAGAAAGAUUAAA